UGUUAGUUUUCAUUAUGUUAAUAAAGUUUUCAUUAUGUUAAUAAAGUUGUUGCAUUUUCCACAGAACUUACUUACAGAUAGUUGCUUUCAUAAUUUCAUAGGGUUUUGUUGUUAUUUUUAGUUCGAUCUACCCAGCCUAUCACUGGUAAGUUUGUGUAGGAUAACUUGAAUAUUAAAUAUAAGCAUGUAUAUCUUGGGUUACCUUAUAUCAUUUUUGAUCUUCGCUCCUUUAAUCAGUUGCUAUGCAACAUCUUCAUCUGCAAUGAAUGCUCUAGUUCCAUCCUCAACUGCAUUGGGUGUUCCAUCUAUAUCUGCUAUAAUUGCCUUUAGUUACAUCUUCAGCUGCUACAAGUGGUAAGUUUAUAAACUAUUAUUUUUUAAUAUGUGUAUGCAUAAUAUGUGUAAAAGUAUUGUUUCUAAUAUGUCUAUGCCUAUCUUAUCGACUGCAAAUAAAUUGUAAUUUUAUUUAAAA
rnacentral:lncRNA from 1 species